UCGUUCGGAGCAGUUUUACGGAGGUGCUGCAUGGUUGUCGUCAGCUCGUGCCGUGAGGUGUACGGGUUAACGUCCCAUAACGAGCGCAACCCUACCUUUAGUUGCCAUCAGGUAAUGCUGGGGACUCUAAAGGAACUGCCUACGCAAGUAGUGAGGAAGGCGGGGAUGACGUCAAAUCAGCACGGCCCUUACGUCCAGGGCUACACACGUGCUACAAUGGCCGAUACAGAGGGCAGCUACCUGGUGACAGGAUGCAAAUCUCCAAAGUCGGUCUCAGUUCGGAUCGGAGUCUGCAACCCGACUCCGUGAAGUUGGAUUCGCUAGUAAUCGCGCAUCAGCCAUGGCGCGGUGAAUACGUUCCCGGGCCUU
rnacentral:rRNA from 1 species